rnacentral:snRNA from 1 species
GUGCUCUCUUCAGCAACACAUAAUACUAAAAUUGGAAUGAUGCAGAGAAGAUUAGCAGGGCCCCUGCACAACGAUGACAUGCAAAUUCAUGAAGUGUUUCAUAUUUUU